CCUGUGUCUGGAGCUGCUGGGAUUACAGGUGUGUGCCACCAACAAGCCUGGUUUAAUUUCUAAUUGCUGUUAUAACUCAAGAAUGGAUCAUGAAAUGAGUGUCUACAUUUUAUUGUUUCCUUGUCUCACAUUGAAGAACAAUGAGAGGAUGUGGAUGGAUUAUCCAUACUGUCAGAUCUGACUGCUACAAUCAUGGGGUUAGGGAUUGAGCCGAGGGUUUCUGAAUACUGACAGGGUUCUACCAUUGAGCUACAUCCACAGUCCAGGCUGAGUUUUUUAAAAAAAUGUCAAGAGCUGGAUGAAAUUAGGGUAUGGGCCUUAAACUGGAGACUUUCUGCUCUUACUCAGAAGCCCCAAAUUCCCUAUGCUGGAGGCCUUCAGUUCUUUCAAAUAAAAUAAAUGUUUUGUCUUUCAUCUGUCCAUUCAUACGCUUACUCAGCAAACACCCUUAGGCAGGAAGGCAAAAGCAGGCCUGCACCAUGGUGCAUGCCUGUAAUCCCAGUGACUGAAGAGGCUGAAACAAGAGGAUCACAAAUUCAAAGGCCAGCCUGGGCAAUUUAGCAAGCCCCUGUCUCAAACUAAGAAGUAAAAAGGGAUGGAAUGUAGCUCAGUGGUAGAGUGCUCCAGGCUCAAUCCCAGUACCACCACUGAAAGAAGGAGGAGGAGGAGGAUAAAGAAGGCAGAAGCCGGCAAGUUAAAGAUGAGGAUGGGAGUGCCUUGCCCUUGAGGUCAGACUCAUGGGGAGAUAGAAAGACAAGUAGUCACUGGGCGCAGUGGUGCACACCUGUAAGCCCAGCAACUCAGGAGGUUGAGGCAGGAGGAUUGCAUGUUCAAAGCUAGCCUUAGCAACUUAGUGAAGCCCUACACAACAAGACCCUGUCUCAAAAUAAAAUAUAAAAAGGGCUUGGGGAUGUGGUUCAGUGGUUAAGUGCCCCUGAGUUCAAUCCCUGGUACCAUAAAAAAAUAAAAAAAAAUACAAGUAGUCACCAUCAGAUGAGGACCUUGCAGUAACAGAGGUGUGCAAAGAGUGGGUCUGGUGGGUCUGCAAGGAACUGAGGAAAGCAGAAUUUGAUUACUAUGGUUUUGAUAUGGUUUGAGUGUCCCCCAAGGUUUCAUGCAUUGAAAUUUUCUUCCCAUUGUGAGGUAUUAAGAGGGUAGAAACUUAAUUGUUCGUGUUUAUGUGUGGGGCUCUUGGAAUAUGAUUAAGAUUAGAUAAGGUCAUCAGAGUUCAGCUCCCAUGAUUGAAUCUUGGUGACUUUGUUAAAAAACGGAUACACACACACACGCACUCAGCAUGCUUCCUGUUUCUUGCCAUGUGAUACUCUGUGCCACCAGCUAGAAUGCCAGCACCAGAUAAAAUCCCUAGACUUUCAACCAGAACCAUAACAAAAAUAAAACUCUUUUCUUUAUAAAGUUCUCUGACUCAAUUACUUCACUAUAGUAACAAAACAGAUUAGCACAGUGAUUUUAGGAAAAUCUUCUUCCUGAGCCUCAGUUUCUUCCCCCAUAAAAUGGGGACUAUGAGUUCCACCUCCUGAGUAGUAGUGAGCUCUGGGAAGCCCCCAGCCAGUUCUCUGCAACUGCUGGAGAAGAAGGCAAGUUCAAGGCAGCCUGUUGUGGUCAGGACUCUUAGAAGAGCUUAGAACGGAGGUCUUCAGGAUGAAUGCAAGAGAGGCCAGGAGCUGAGAGUUGGCACUGUCUCAGUCCGGGAUUCUGCAGCCAAGAGAGCCUGGCCACCCGCACCCCGCCUAGGACACGUGAGUCUGUUAACCUAGGCCCAGAGGCCAGAGUGUGCAGUGAUGAGUCACCCCAACCCAACGCAACAGGAGACCCCCUCCUCCCUGCCUGCGCCUGGGCUGAGACCUGGUUGCCGAGCAAUGAGACAUAACAUAUAUAAAUAAAAUGCAGUUUCUUGUUGGAA